CAGAGGCAGUAUUAGAGCAGCGAGUGAUUCCUAAAAACAACAUGCAAGUAAUUCAAGUUUUGGUUAAAUGGUUCAACUGUCCACCUGAAGAUAGCACUUGGCUGGACAUACAUGCUCUACAGCAGCAGUUUCCACACUUUUGUCCUUGAGGACAAGGACUUUUAAGAGGGGGAGUACUUGUUAUAUACCAAUAUAGAGUUUAAAAGUGCAAUAGCUUUACUUGUAAAAGUAGGGACCUAAGUGUUAAUAUAGAAUAAGUUAUUGCCAUACCUCCUUUUUCACUUAUACCCCGCAAGGGCGUGAAGGAGUUUUUCCACUUAAAGGACAAUCGAAUGAGAUUUCGUUAUUAAUUAUUUCAGAGUCGCCACUUGGGAGAUUAAUGGUGUCCCAAGUCACCGAUUGAAUCCCAAACCGAGGAAAAAGAUGACUCUGUUCACGGUCUGCGAACCAGAAAUCCAGAUAAGGAAUUCUGUUAACCCGGGAGAAGGUGUUAGGCAUUCCCGGGUUCCGUCCGCGAACUAGAAAUCCGGAUAAGGAAUUCUGUUAACCCGGGAAAAGGUGUUAGGCAUUCCCGGAUUCCGUGGUCUAGCACAGUCACUCAACUGUUGCAUUUGAUUUUAUCUGAUUUUGAUACAUGCUAGCUUAUGUACUUUUUAUUUACAAAACCGUUUUUACCAUUAUUCAUUUUAAAGGACUUGCGACGUAGUGAAAACACGUCUUUGACCACAUCGCUAUCAAGGCACCCGUAGUCAUCAACGCAUUUCGACUUUAUCGAGAUUUGGAUUUGGGUCGCAUCAAUACACACCCGAGUUUAAGAAGGUAAUUUAAUUAAAUCGAGCUUAAAGGUUGUAACGUAAUAUUAUUUUGGGGAAGGCCAUUGAAAUUCGCUAAAUGGCCAUUCCAAAUUCUAAUUAAUUUUUAAUAACCAAUUACUGAGGGCCCCACAUUUAUUUUUGUUUGUCACGGCGCACCUCAAUAAUACUCUACUUAAAACAUUUCUAAGCUAACUCACGAGGGCCAUAAAUUGUUAUUGGUUUUGAAUGGCGCAUCUCAAUUAAUCAAAAGCCCAAACCAUUAUGUGGCUUUAUUUGCAACCCACACGAAAUGGGCCUGCUUUAUGCCAAGGCCCAAAGGAUAAAAUUAAGUCGAAAACAAAGGCUUCAUAGCGCCCCAAGCUGGACAGGCAAUUAUGCACGAACUGGAUUUCUACAAAACGAAUUACAUUUUUAAUUUGAUCCUAAAACAUGAAAUGCUCACACCCGAAGGAUACCAGAACAAACGUCUGAUUUUCAGAAAAGGUGGAGAGAAAAUCAACACUGAAGCUGUGUAACAUGCAGAAACUACAUCCCAAUUUCGUGUGAACUAGAGUACAAAUGCAUGAAGUGAAAUAUGAAAUACAAUCACAAACAUGACACACUGGAAUAACGCUCAAAUGAAUCCAAAAUCAGUGACAACAGAUGAAUCCAAUUUAUCCAAGUAGGUCAAAAUAUAUAGAUGACCCUCACAUCCAUUUUCGAGUUCAAAUCUCAUUCUCAAUCUUAGCAUCCUUGGCAAGUAGCUCAUACAACGCCUUAACAAACAAACUCUCAGCAAAAGCAAUACCAAAACUCAUGAAAAAUAACAGAUGAACAACAUCUAUUCAACUGAAGCGGGCAGUUUUGCCUAUCUGAGGAUUUAAAAGAAGCUAGACACGAGAACAUGAGCUUAUCAUUGUAAAAUGAUGCCUUCAGCAUAUGAACUGGAAGACGCACUCUUCAUUUGUUAAAAAACAGUUGUAACUAAACUAAAGCAGGGGAAAAGGAGACUAUUCAGUGAUUAUGUCGAACUUGUCGAAACAAAACAGUAGGUGCAUUCAUAGUCGUGCAAAUAUGUUGUCUGGACAGUGCAAACAGGGCAGCUGACUCGAUUCAUCAAAGUUCAGAAUGAUUACUUAGAUUCGAGUCCCUAACAGCCGCUAUCAAUUAGUCUACACUCGAUGACAAUCCCAAAAUUUGGUGCAGAGGUAAACUCAUACUUUCAACCAGUAGAACAUGCAGAUAAGGUUACAAAAUUAAAGGAAAGAGAAAACUAAACAACUCUUUGAAUUCUAAUUUUAAUAGAACAAAAUCUGAUGACCAAAGAGAGUUCACAGAACAAAUCAUUUAGUGUUCAGAAAGCACGCAUAAUGAGAAGUAACUUCAUAGCUUCAUGCUCGCUUUUGAUUUUCAAAACUGAACUCACCAUUCAUUUGCAAGCGACGAAAUCUUGACACAAAAAUGAUAAUUCGACCCUAAAAUAACAGUUAAACCAUGAAAGCACAGAAAAGGACCACUCAAAAUCAACUUCUACUAGCUGAGAAUACUCAAAUACAUCACACCAUCGCGAACAGAUUUAAUCAGCAAGAAGUUCGAUCAAAACACAAACAAACCACCCUAGAUUUAAUCUCAUAGCUCAAAAUACAACGAAACAAAACAAAAUCAAGUUGUAACAAUCCAUAAACCACCCUAGAUUGAAUCUCAUAGCUCAAAAUACAAUGAAACAAAAUAGAAUCGCAAGAACAGAGAGAUGAAGACUGAAACUGAAAUUUCGAACUUCUUUUGAUAACAAAAUCGAAGGCGAUUACACAGUUUUGACUCAAACUUUCAGCAAUAAAAUAACAGCAGGUCAAGGCUCGGAGCACAACCAAACCAGUAGCAAAGACGAGCAACAAUCAGAAGUUUAGACAGCGACGAACUCAGCAGCUUUCAAUCGAACUCCAUUUUGAGAACCAAAAUCAUAACAAAUAUUGAAAUAUUUAGGUAAUUUUCUAAUUUCUUCUGAAACGAAACUCGAAUAAAAAUCGAACCCAAACUAUUUUUUUGUAUUUUUCAUUUUCUGAAAAUGCAGUAACAGAUUGAAGAGAAGGAAAGCAAAGAACCCUAGAACCCUUUUUACCUCUCCCAAAUUUUCAGCCCCCCUCACGAAAUUUGAUAAAUCUAUUUUGAAGACCAAUCCUUGAUGAAUGUGGGGCUCAGAUUGAGUGAAAUCAAUCCAACGCCUCACACUCAUCCAGCAUUCGUCUUCCAGACCCUUCCAAUCACGUGUUUAAACUCGAAUUACAGAAAUCUCAAUCCAACGCCUCACACUCAUCCAGCAUUCCUUUUUAAGACCCUUCCAAUCACGUGUUUAAACUCGAAUUCGAGCGAGUGGGAGGAGGAGGAAUCUUGUUAUCAGAAACCGUUAGCAACAGCAAAAGAAUGCGGGUUAGGGCUUGAUUCUCACUCGCGUGAAUUUUGGCGAUUUUUGGGACGAAAUUUGGGGCUGGGCUCGCGUGCUCUUCAGAGAAGAAGAACAGUACGCGUUUGAUUAGGGAUUUGGCUCAUCCGUUAUUUUUGUGUUUAAUCGUGGGGUGGGUCGGGUCACUAAGCAUGUUGGGCGGGUGGAUUAGGGGUUUUUGGGCCUGGAGUUGGGAGAAUC
rnacentral:lncRNA from 1 species